rnacentral:rRNA from 1 species
GAACUGCCGUUGACAAACGGAGGAAGGUGGGGAUGACGUCAAAUCAUCAUGCCCCUUAUGACCUGGGCUACACACGUGCUACAAUGGUUGGUACAACGAGUUGCGAGUCGGUGACGGCGAGCUAAUCUCUUAAAGCCAAUCUCAGUUCGGAUUGUAGGCUGCAACUCGCCUACAUGAAGUCGGAAUCGCUAGUAAUCGCGGAUCAGCACGCCGCGGUGAAUACGUUCCCGGGCCUU